AACGAACGCUGGCGGCAUGCCUAACACAUGCAAGUCGAACGAGACCUUCGGGUCUAGUGGCGCACGGGUGCGUAACGCGUGGGAACCUGCCCUUAGGUUCGGAAUAACUCCCCGAAAGGGGUGCUAAUACCGGAUAAGGUCUUCGGACCAAAGAUUUAUCGCCUUUGGAUGGGCCCGCGUUGGAUUAGCUAGUUGGUAGGGUAAAAGCUGCCCAAGGCGACGAUUCAUAGCUGGUCUGAGAGGAUGAUCAGCCACACUGGGACUGAGACACGGCCCAGACUCCUACGGGAGGCAGCAGUGGGGAAUAUUGGACAAUGGGCGAAAGCCUGAUCCAGCAAUGCCGCGUGAGUGAUGAAGGCCUUAGGGUUGUAAAGCUCUUUUACCCGGGAUGAUAAUGACAGUACCGGGAGAAUAAGCUCCGGCUAACUCCGUG
rnacentral:rRNA from 1 species